GGUGAACGCUGGCGGCGUGCCUAACACAUGCAAGUCGAGCGGUGCAGUUUGAAGCUUCGGUGGAAAGCUGCAUAGCGGCGGACGGGUGAGGAAAACGUAGGAACGUGCCCCUUGGAGUUGGAUAGCCACGGGAAACUGUGGGUAAACCGACAUAGACUCGAGAGAGUAAAGGCCGAAAGGCGCCGAGGGAGCGGUCUGCGUCCCAUCAGGUAGUUGGUAGGGUAAAGGCCUACCAAGCCGACGACGGGUAACCGGUCUGAGAGGAUGGCCGGUCACAAGGGCACUGAGAGACGGGCCCUACUCCUACGGGAGGCAGCAGUGGGGGAUUUUGGACAAUGGGCGAAAGCCUGAUCCAGCGACGCCGCGUGGAGGACGAAGCCCUUCGGGGUGUAAACUCCUUUUCUCAGGGAAAAAAGGAUGAUGGUACCUGAGGAAUAAGCCCCGGCUAACUACGUG
rnacentral:rRNA from 1 species